AAACCCGAGCAGCCAUAGGACAGGCUCUUCAAAACCCCUGUUCUUCAAGGCAUUUCAGGCUUUCAGCCCCCCUAGUCAAAUCCAAACAUGGGGAAGGGGCUUCUAAUCGAUUUGGCUUGGGAGGGGCAGGGCCCUUUGAUCGGCAGUUCCACCAAACAAAACCAAGAAGCUGUCCCAGAAGAGAGAAUGGAGGCAGAACAGGUGACCAGCAUCAUCUUAUUUUACAUCCUGUUAGCGCUUGCCUUCAAGGAGCCUCACCCAGUGGGAGAGGCAGACCUGCAGGUGUAAAAUUGCACUAGUGGAUGAAAAGUGAAACUAACACUCAGCAUGGGGGCAGUCAGACUUGUGCUUAGUGGCGCUUCAAUAAGAUUUUUAAGAGGGAAAGUCUCUGAGCACCUGCUCUGGACGGGACGCAGCCUGGGCUAGGCUGGGCUGUCCUCAGGUCCCCAGGAUUCCCACUGCCAUUCGGAAGGCUGGCUCUUGUUGGAGUCCUCCGCAUCUCUGCUCAAGCUCACAGGAAACUGGGCCCUGGAGGGAGAACAGCACACAGAGACGGCUAGGAGAUCCUGCAGUUCUGCACAGCACCCCAGGACUUGGAGCUGGCGCCCACGGAGGGAGUCCUGGGAAGCUGCUGCCCAAUGUAGUUGGUGGCUGCUCUGCUUCCAGUUGUGGGACAUACUUCAGAACUCACCUCCGAAUUUCCACCCCUCAUACUAGGGCCCAGGGAAAACACACACAGGAAGAUGGGUGGAUUGAGGACCAGCUGGAUGGACAGACAUGUUUUAAUUAACAAAGCCCGUUGGUGUUCAUUAUUUUGUUCACUCUCAUUGGGACUUCUGUUUCCCUACUUCACUAACAUACAAACUGAGGCUCAGAGAGGUUUAUUCAAGGUCAAUCCCAUUAUCAGACGGGGAGCAUUAUACUAUAGUUAUACAUAGUCACACACACAUACGCACUAAGGGCCAGAGCCCAGUCUAUAUCUUACGUGAUCCUCUCCCCAGCCCAAUGAGAUGGACGCUGUUGCCCUUACUUCACCAGAGAAUUAGGUAAGCGGCUCAAGGUCACACAGCUAGUGAUUGACAGGCCCAGGAUUCCACUCAAUUUAUGUGGGAGGCUUCCUCCCAUACAGAUAGCAUACCCCAUUUAGACAACAAUACAAAUAAUCUGUAUGAAAAGUCUGUUCUGUUCUGUUCUUGUGCUAACUCCUUAGUCUGUAAGACUCUGAAAAACAAAGCAUUUCACAGACACCCAACACAAGCAAUGAAAACAUCUCCCCUUGUCUUUUCAGUGACGUGCCCCUAAGAGGAAAACUGAGAUGCCAACAAAGAUUGGACCCAAGCUCAGAAUCUAUAUGAAAGAAUAAGUGCUUAAAAAAAAAGGCUUUGUAAUCAGAAUACGAAAUUAUAUGUUCAGUGUGAUUACCACUGAGUAUAAAAUGUGCACACGUAUAGACAAAGACUGCAAGAGAAACGCAAACAUUAAAUCAGUUCUAUGGCAAACGGAUGGCUUAUUUUUCUUUCUUAAAAAUGCAAUGUUCUUAUCAUAUUUGUGCGAUAACAAAAAGACUUUGAUAUUGUGUGUAGAGAUUCAUAAUAU
ensembl:lncRNA